rnacentral:tRNA from 1 species
GGGGGUAUAGCUUAGUGGUAGAGUGCAUGCUUAGCAUGCAUGAGGUCCUGGGUUCAAUCCUCAGUACCUCCA